rnacentral:piRNA from 1 species
ACACGAAUGGAUCACAA